rnacentral:rRNA from 1 species
GAGGUUAAGCGACCAAGCGUACACGGUGGAUGCCCUGGCAGUCAGAGGCGAUGAAGGACGUGCUAAUCUGCGAAAAGCGCCGGUAAGGUGAUAUGAACCGUUAUAACCGGCGAUGUCCGAAUGGGGAAACCCAGUGUGACUCGUCACACUAUCAUUAACUGAAUCCAUAGGUUAAUGAGGCGAACCGGGGGAACUGAAACAUCUAAGUACCCCGAGGAAAAGAAAUCAACCGAGAUUCCCCCAGUAGCGGCGAGCGAACGGGGAGGAGCCCAGAGCCUGAAUCAGCAUGUGUGUUAGUGGAAGCGUCUGGAAAGGCGCGCGAUACAGGGUGACAGCCCCGUACACAAAAGCGCAUGUGCUGUGAGCUCGAUGAGUAGGGCGGGACACGUGGUAUCCUGUCUGAAUAUGGGGGGACCAUCCUCCAAGGCUAAAUACUCCUGACUGACCGAUAGUGAACCAGUACCGUGAGGGAAAGGCGAAAAGAACCCCGGCGAGGGGAGUGAAACAGAACCUGAAACCGU